UACGUAGGGGGCUAGCGUUGUCCGGAAUCAUUGGGCGUAAAGAGCGCGUAGGCGGUCCGGCAAGUCCGCUGUGAAAGUCGGGGGCUCAACCCUCGAAUGCCGGUGGAUACUGUCGGGCUAGAGUGCGGAAGAGGCGAGUGGAAUUCCUGGUGUAGCGGUGAAAUGCGCAGAUAUCAGGAGGAACACCGGUGGCGAAGGCGGAUCUCUGGGCCAUUACUGACGCUGAGGAGCGAAAGCGUGGGGAGCGAACAGG
rnacentral:rRNA from 1 species